UACGGAGGGUGCGAGCGUUGUCCGGAAUCAUUGGGCGUAAAGCGCGUGUAGGCGGUCCGGUAAGUCCGCUGUGAAAGUCGGGGGCUCAACCCUCGGAUGCCGGUGGAUACUGUCGGGCUUGAGUACGGAAGAGGCGAGUGGAAUUCCUGGUGUAGCGGUGAAAUGCGCAGAUAUCGGGAGGAACACCAAUGGCGAAGGCAGCUCGCUGGGACGGUACUGACGCUGAGACGCGAAAGCGUGGGGAGCAAACAGG
rnacentral:rRNA from 1 species